AUUGAACGCUGGCGGCAGGCCUAACACAUGCAAGUCGAGCGGUAGAGAGGUGCUUGCAUCUCUUGAGAGCGGCGGACGGGUGAGUAAUGCCUAGGAAUCUGCCUAGUGGUGGGGGAUAACGUUCGGAAACGGACGCUAAUACCGCAUACGUCCUACGGGAGAAAGCGGGGGGAUCUUCGGACCUCGCGCCAUUAGAUGAGCCUAGGUCGGAUUAGCUAGUUGGUGAGGUAAUGGCUCACCAAGGCGACGAUCCGUAACUGGUCUGAGAGGAUGAUCAGUCACACUGGAACUGAGACACGGUCCAGACUCCUACGGGAGGCAGCAGUGGGGAAUAUUGGACAAUGGGCGAAAGCCUGAUCCAGCCAUGCCGCGUGUGUGAAGAAGGUCUUCGGAUUGUAAAGCACUUAAGUUGGAGGAAGGGUUGUAGAUUAAUACUCUGCAAUUUUGACGUUACCGACAGAAUAAGCACCGGCUAACU
rnacentral:rRNA from 1 species